AUUGAACGCUGGCGGCAGGCUUAACACAUGCAAGUCGAGCGGAGAGAGGUAGCUUGCUACUGAUCUUAGCGGCGGACGGGUGAGUAAUGCUUAGGAAUCUGCCUAUUAGUGGGGGACAACAUUUCGAAAGGAAUGCUAAUACCGCAUACGUCCUACGGGAGAAAGCAGGGGAUCUUCGGACCUUGCGCUAAUAGAUGAGCCUAAGUCGGAUUAGCUAGUUGGUGGGGUAAAGGCCUACCAAGGCGACGAUCUGUAGCGGGUCUGAGAGGAUGAUCCGCCACACGGGGACUGAGACACGGCCCAGAAUCCUACGGGAGGCAGCAGUGGGGAAUAUUGGACAAUGGGCGCAAGCCUGAUCCAGCCAUGCCGCGUGUGUGGAGAAGGCCUUAUGGUUGUAAAGCACUUUAAGCGAGGAGGAGGCUACUUUAGUUAAUACCUAGAGAUAGUGGACGUUACUCGCAGAAUAAGCACCGGCUAACUCUGUGCCAGCCGCCGCCGUAAGAC
rnacentral:rRNA from 1 species